rnacentral:rRNA from 1 species
CUGAUUUGCUUAAUUGCACCACAUGUGUUUUUCUUUGAAACAAACUUGCUUUGGCGGUGGGCCCAGCCUGCCGCCAGAGGUCUAAACUUACAACCAAUUUUUUAUCAACUUGUCACACCAGAUUAUUACUAAUAGUCAAAACUUU